ensembl:lncRNA
AAAAAAACCCUUUCACCGCAACUGAGGUUCUUGUUGUUUCCCGUCUUCGGUCCUAACGGAGACCCGCGUUCAGAGCGCAAGCCCCCGCUGUCUGUCGGUUCUCCCUCCCGGUGAACGGAGACGCGCGAGCGCCGCUGCGGUCGGUCCGUGUCUCGUCUGCGGCUCCGCGCGCUCACGUCACGGAGGAUAAAAGAAAACAAACCGGUCGAUCCAGGGUGGGACGUGCAGGUGACCCGCGCUGCUCCUCCCCCUCCUCCUCCCCCCUCCUCUGACCCGGCGGCGCUGGAGGACACGGGGAGGGGGGCGGGGCGUACAGCGCGCCGGUGAUGACGCGCCAACAUGGCGGCUGGUUGGCCGGCGUUGCUGCUAUGACGCUGCUCCCACGUGACCUUUGACACGCGGGGAUGGAACGUGACGUCACUUGAGACGCGGUGAAGGUGGCUGUGAGCUUCACUGGGAUGGCAUGUGGGCACCUGGUUCACCAAGGGGUCGCUGGUCCUGAUGAUCCGCUCUUUUUAAAGCAAGCGACCGGCCGGGCGAGUGAAGGCUCAGUAUCUCACGAAACGUGUAUCUCGGCCAUGCAGCCUUCUCCUAUCCUCCUCUUCCUCCUCAUUCUCUUCCACAUUGCCCCCCCCCCCCCCACAUGCUAAUCAUAUCCAGGACCAGCCGCUGAGCGCGUCAGCACUGCGGCAGGUUCCUACAUCCAGAUGUUACGUAAGAGGCUGCAACGACAGAUGAGAAUGAUUUCCAAAGGAGAGCAGAAAAACAUCCCCAACGUUCUGGUCUCCUAUUGAACCUGAACGCCGCGUGUGUCGCUGCCAUCGGCCCGCCGUCUUUCUCCUGCUCCCCACUGAUGCUGGAACGUAGGAAUGUGAGGAGAGUCCAAAGGGGGGGAGGACUUGGAUGGAGUGAUCUCGUACAAGUGCCCGUCCAAAAAACACAGAUUGGUCCACGGUUGAUUGACGCGAGGAUCUCAGAUGGACGGUGACGGCGUUUGAGUUAGAAGCUUCAUGUCACAUCAGGGCACGUGGGCGAGACCCAAAGGAGGUCAGACAGACCCAGAAACAUUUGAUUCACCCGACCAACGAAUUUUAAGAAUUGAAUCCGACUGUAAACGGAGUAGAAGGAGAGAGGUCGGCCGGUCAGCUGAUCUGCCAGAUGUAUGUAGAUGAUGUAGAUAUUCAUGUGUGGGAUGUUUCUAAGCUCCCCCGGGUGGUUUUGGCCUUCGUAAAAAGCAGUUGAUUUGUUCAACGGACACCGACGUCGCAUUUGACAGAUGAACCAUCGACUCACAGGCCGCUGACGUCUGAUUGCUCGUAUUUGUCCCCUGACGUGACAUUGCCGAUAGUAGCAACAAUAAAAGCGCGCUCAACUAUUUGAAUUCCUUUCUUCUAUCACGAAUGGGCUUUUUUUCCAGUUUGCAACCCGUCUGCCCCGUUUGCUGGCAGAUAAAUGCCAAUUUGCCCCCAAAAAAACAUGCUGUAUCUGAUUUUAUUUGCUUUUCACUUUCAAUUUUCUUAACAAUUGAAUGGAGGAACAGAACGAUGUGCUUAGUACGGCGAUUUUUAUCGUUGCCACAACACAUUAACCUCUGGCCAGUAGCUUUUGGGAUCUUCCUCUGGACCAAAAUGUUGGAUUGGCGAACCAUAAUACUGAACUCCUGACCAUGUAAAUGUCCGAUGAGUUAUUUAUAUGAUCAGAAAUGUACUGUUUGGGUCUUUACAGAAGGGGCGAAAUCCCUCCAAAGCAAAUCCUAUAAGAAGCAGAAUAUUAAGCAGUCGCUUUGGAUAAAA